UGAUAUCCGGUCGUGUUGUGGCGUGCAUGAAGUUGCUCUCUGACGUUUAUGACGUCACAUUAUUUACGGUAAAAAGACAAACAGACCGCUGCUGUCCUCCAACAUGUCGGGGGCGACGGUUCAGUAAAUAUUAAAAGAAACCUCCUUCCCACCAGUUGAGACUAAACCUUGUAUGUAAUCAACAACAACAACAACAACAACAACAACAACAACAACAACAACACCGUAUAUGAGCCGUGAACCGAAUGGAAGAGGAGCAAACUAAUAAAGAGAGGGCCAGGAUGCACAAUGGGCAAGAUGAUGAUUGGAAAUGGGUGUUACUUAUUAGCAAUAUGUUGGCUUUUUGCUAAUUAGUUUGAUAUUUUAUUAGAAAGUUUGUGUUUUUGAUCGAAUUUUAUUUGAAUUUUGAAGGAACUGCAUUGAAAAAAUCAUUCAGAAUCAAAGAAAUUGAAGUAUUUAAGGCUCUUUUUAUGGAAUAACUUUCGAAAUUGGUAUUUAUUUAAUCAAUAUUCUAUUGAAUAUUGUAUAUUUAAAUAACAAUAUAUUUAAUAAUAUUUAAUCAAUAUUCAACCAUAGAGGUACGAGGUGUUCUGACCUGGUUGUAGGUCCCGUGGACUUCACAGCUGACAACCAGCUGCAGGUAUUGAAGAGCGCCCCCCUCAACCCCAUGGCCAUCUGUGAGUACUGCACCCAUAGUAGAGAAUAGUGACAUUAAAUGAUACAAAACAACAGAGCUUAAAGUUCAGAUGAUUACACGACUCAUAAAAGCAGUAAUGUGUUACUAUUGUACAUACUACAUGUGUAAACAUGAGACAUAGCCAGAGCUUCCAGUUUAAAUUAUUCUUUAGUUUACUCAGUAAAAAGCUGCUUUUCAGCCUGGUGGUAAGAUGACUAUGUUAUAGUUCUAAAGCUUUUGUUGUUGUUGUUGUUGUUGUUGUUGUUGUUGUGCCUUCCCGUUCCACCGUAGAGUUUAUAAUUAUGCUGCUUUGUACAUGGUUUGUAUUGUUAUUACAACAUAUCACAGAAUACAAUCCAAAAAGUUGGUGAGUUCCAAAAAAAAGAAACUUAAUUGGUGAAUUAGAUUUUUUUUUUAAGUACAAGACAAAGAAGAUAUAGGUUUUUAGUUGCCGUCCUUAUUUUGCUGUUAUUUUGGGAAACAAGGCCAUUCCAUAUAAAAUAGACACAGUGAAGAUGAAGGUCCAUCCAACUAUGAUGAAGCCACAAUUAAGACUUUCCCAAACUGCUUCCUGCUCCUGGAAUCAACGAAGCUUCCCCUGAACAUGAAGCAAUGUCCCUUCUGCACCAGAAGAUGUCACCAUUAAAUAACAUAAUUCAACUUUGAAUCUGCAGCCACCAGAUGGUCCAAAUGGGAUUCAUAAGUGCAGCAGAGUGAAACUACCACAAACCGCCAUGUUUCUGUUUCAGUAAGAAUCAGAAGAACGUUUCUGUUCCUCUUUCCUGUUUAUUCACCUCCAUCUUCCAACACAGCCUGUGAGGAGGAAGCACCCUGACGUGUGGAGGACAGCUACACUUCACUGUGUUUCAUAUGUGUCCUGCCUCUCUGCUCCCAGCCGUUAAGAGGCCAUGUUGAUCAGUGGCUGUCCAGGCCUUUCAGAGACACUGACAAUGAUGAUGUCACUGACUCUACUGCUGACCACCCUGGGGCUCCUUGUUCAGGAUUCAUCAGGAGAAAUCCUCCUGACUCAGUCUCCUGGAUCUCAGUCUGUUGUUCCAGGACAGACUGUCUCCAUCAGAUGUAGAACCAGUUCAAGUGUUGGUAACUGGCUUCACUGGUA